GCCGAGCUCGGUAGUGUGAGCUUGUAACCCGAGCGGGGGCAUCAAAGUGKUCGAAUGUUGGUCUGACUUCGAUGGACAGGAUCAGGCGGAGUAAUUUGCUGGCACGCCCGUUCCAAGUAGGGAGUUGAGCCAUGGGGCUUGAGCGUAGGCUCUCGGGUCUCUGGGUUCUUAGAGCGGAGGGCACCGCGUCAGGCUGGCUUCACAGAGCAGCGACAACCUCCCGCUCCCAUCGGUGGAAGGAUAACGAGUCGGUGCUCCGAUGAUCCACUAAUGUCCUAGGGGUCAAUCCCAAUCGGACGAUCACUUUU
rnacentral:SRP_RNA from 1 species